rnacentral:rRNA from 1 species
GAUGAACGCUGGCGGCGUGCCUAAUACAUGCAAGUCGAGCGAACAGACGAGGAGCUUGCUCCUCUGACGUUAGCGGCGGACGGGUGAGUAGCACGUGGAUAACCUACCUAUAAGACUGGGAUAACUUCGGGAAACCGGAGCUAAUACCGGAUAAUAUAUUGAACCGCAUGGUUCAAUAGUGAAAGACGGUUUUGCUGUCACUUAUAGAUGGAUCCGCGCCGCAUUAGCUAGUUGGUAAGGUAACGGCUUACCAAGGCAACGAUGCGUAGCCGACCUGAGAAGGUGAUCGGCCACACUGGAACUGAGACACGGUCCAGACUCCUACGGGAGGCAGCAGUAGGGAAUCUUCCGCAAUGGGCGAAAGCCUGACGGAGCAACGCCGCGUGAGUGAUGAAGGUCUUCGGAUCGUAAAACUCUGUUAUUAGGGAAGAACAAAUGUGUAAGUAACUAUGCACGUCUUGACGGUACCUAAUCAGAAAGCCACGGCUAACUACGUG